rnacentral:rRNA from 1 species
CCUCGGGAGGCAGCAGUGGGGAAUAUUGCACAAUGGGCGAAAGCCUGAUGCAGCAACGCCGCGUGAAGGAAGAAGGGUUUCGGCUCGUAAACUUCUAUCAACAGGGACGAAAGAAAUGACGGUACCUGAAUAAGAAGCCCCGGCUAACUACGUGCCAGCAGCCGCGGUAAUACGUAGGGGGCAAGCGUUAUCCGGAAUUACUGGGUGUAAAGGGUGAGUAGGCGGCAUGGUAAGCCAGAUGUGAAAGCCUUGGGCUUAACCCGAGGAUUGCAUUUGGAACUAUCAAGCUAGAGUACAGGAGAGGAAAGCGGAAUUCCUAGUGUAGCGGUGAAAUGCAUAGAUAUCACGAGGAACCCCGAUUGCGAAGGCAGCAUACCGGCGCCCGACUGACGCUGAGGCACGAAAGCGUGGGUAUCGAACAGGAUUAGAUACCCCGGUAGUC